rnacentral:rRNA from 1 species
UACGUAGGGUGCGAGCGUUGUCCGGAUUUAUUGGGCGUAAAGAGCUCGUAGGCGGUUUGUUGCGUCGGCUGUGAAAUCUCCACGCUUAACGUGGAGCGUGCAGUCGAUACGGGCAGGCUAGAAUUCGGUAGGGGAGACUGGAAUUCCUGGUGUAGCGGUGAAAUGCGUAGAUAUCGGAAGGAACAUCAGUGGCGAAAGCGACUUCCUGGACCAGUACCGACGUUCAGGCACGAAAGCGUGGGGAGCAAACAGG